rnacentral:rRNA from 1 species
UACAGAGGGUGCAAGCGUUGUUCGGAAUUAUUGGGCGUAAAGGGCGCGUAGGCGGUGCGGUAAGUCUGUAGUGAAAUCUCUGGGCUCAACUCAGAGUCUGCUAUAGAAACUGCCGUGCUUGAGUGUGGGAGAGGUGAGUGGAAUUCCCGGUGUAGCGGUGAGAUGCGUAGAUAUCGGGAGGAACACCUGUGGCGAAAGCGGCUCACUGGACCACAACUGACGCUGAGAGGCGAAAGCCAGGGGAGCGAACGGG